rnacentral:rRNA from 1 species
UGAGGAAUAUUGGUCAAUGGGCGAGAGCCUGAACCAGCCAAGUCGCGUGAAGGAAGAAGGAUCUAUGGUUCGUAAACUUCUUUUGCAGGGGAAUAAAGUGCAGGACGUGUCCUGUUUUGUAUGUACCCUGAGAAUAAGGAUCGGCUAACUCCGUGCCAGCAGCCGCGGUAAUACGGAGGAUCCGAGCGUUAUCCGGAUUUAUUGGGUUUAAAGGGUGCGUAGGUGGUUUAAUAAGUCAGCGGUGAAAGUUUGCAGCUUAACUGUAAAAAUGCCGUUGAAACUGUUAGACUUGAGUGUAAAUGAGGUAGGCGGAAUGCGUGGUGUAGCGGUGAAAUGCUUAGAUAUCACGCAGAACUCCGAUUGCGAAGGCAGCUUACCAAGCUACAACUGACACUGAAGCACGAAAGCGUGGGGAUCAAACA